GCUGGGCAUGGUAGUGCAUGCCUGUAAUCCCAGCAACUAUGAAGGCUGAGACAGGAGGAUCUCGAAUUUAAAGCCAGCCCCAGCAAAAGUGAGGUGCUAAGUAACUCAGUGAGACCCUAUCUCUA
rnacentral:sRNA from 1 species